CUGACUGCUACUGGGGAAGGAUCUCUGGUUGGAGAUGUCUUCCUUGUGGUGUUUUCCCUGUGAACCUGGAUCUUCAGAGAUGGACUGCACCAUCCUUCUGGAAAGGCAACUGCAGGACUUUCAGUAGCAUUGUUCAGCUCGCCUGCAUCUGGCAAACGUCAUUCUUUGGGAUUAAAAAGUGGACUCCUGAGGAUGAAGGAAGGAAAAGCUGUAACCACUGCUGAAGUCACAGGUGUGUGAUGCUGAUGGUAUUAAAAGAGCUGAAUGGAACAUGAGCUUGAGAGGAGGCUGCAGGUUGGAAGAGCUUGAGAUCAAAACAUAAGAGGCAUGGAAAACAUGGAAGAGAUUAGCCUCACAUGCAAAAAAGGAGAGGGGAAGGAAAGAAACCAUAUUACAAUAGCUUUAUUGGUCAUUUAUUAAACAGUGAGAUAAAUCACGCUUGUAAUUUAAAAGAAGUAUUUCUGUAUUCUUGCUGGGAGGAUCUAGUUCACACUAGCUGUAAACGUGUUAGGACAGAAAAAUCAAAGUGCUCAAAUGCUGUGAGGCACUCCCAUCGGAUCGUAAUGCCUUUUUGAAGCAGUAAUUCAAUGAUUGAUCAGAGGAGAUCUAAUUAGCUAACCACAUUAAGUGAAAAAAGCAGCACCACGAAGAAAGCUGUGAUGCUGUGGUUGAUGGAUCUUUGCUCUGCUGCGUGGUGGGGGCGUCUGAUGGAAAAGACAAAGCUUCAUUCAAUAGAUGACCUAAAAAUAAACCCAAAGAUUAAAAGUUUCCUUUGUCUUUCUGCCCUGCCUUUCCCAUAUUAUUGCUCUGCAUACUCCGGGAUGUUUUAGG